ACCCUACAGAACAGAUGAUCACCAUGUCUGGGUUCUAGCAAUCACAUACGUUUAUAUCUGAAUUUGAAAAUGGCAGAGGGAAACAACCAAGAGGAGGUCAUUCACUUGAACAACUUUCACUGCCACCGGGGGAAGGAGUGGAUGGCUGUCAGAGAGGGGCCCAUCACCAUAUCUGACUCCUCUGAUGAGGAAGGGAUUCCAAUGCUGGUUACCCCGGCUACUGAGCAACAGGAAGACGACCUGGAUGAUGAUGUCAUCCUGACAGAAGAUGAUUCUGAGGAUGAAUGUGGUGGAUUUCUGGAUCUUAAGACUGAGAAAAAAGGAGGAGAA
rnacentral:lncRNA from 1 species